GAAAUGCGAUAAGUAGUGUGAAUUGCAGAAUUCAGUGAAUCAUCGAAGCUUUGAACGCACAUUGCGCCCCUUGGUAUUCCAUGGGGCAUGCCUGUUCGAGCGUCAUUUGUACCCUCAAGCUCUGCUUGGUGUUGGGUGUUUGUCCCGUCUCCGCGCGUGGACUCGCCCCAAAGUGAUUGGCAGCCGGCGUACUGGUCCCGGAGCGCAGCACAUGUCGCGCAAACGAGUGCCUUGGUACGGCGGCGUCCAUAAGCCCCUCUCUCACGCUCUUGACCUCGGAUCAGGUAGGGAUACCCGCUGAACUUAAGC
rnacentral:misc_RNA from 1 species